UUUUGAUGUCAUAAUUGUCAGGCGGCCAGAGCUGUGUCCCCGCCCGCCCUCAGCAGAGGACCCCCCAGGAGCCCAGCAUCUGGCCUGCAGCCUGCGGGAGCUCAGCUGAGCAUGCUUGGAACACACUCUGGAAACUUCUCACCAAACUCUGCUCUGGAGUUCCUAACCCUCCCCACCCCGUUUGGUGAGAUUGUUCCGAGUGCGUUGGGCGGACCUUCUCAGCACUCAUAUGUAGAAAGCAUUUCUCUGGGUGGCAGGAGAAGUGUCCCCCUUCACUGGCUUCCCUGAACCAUGUGGGUCUUUUGGAACUUGUGCCAAAUCCACCUCCUGGUGGCUUCACCCCAGCCAGGCCCACAGUCUGGAACUCCUUGGGGGGCUCUGCACUGGUGGCCUGCCAGCUCUCUGGUUCCAGGGGAGAGUGGCCUCUGCCUUUCUGGGGCAUUCUGGGAAACUCUGGGGCCCUGCAGGGAGCCUCAGGGGACAUUGCCUAGGAGACGUGUAUAUGUGGGCUUGACAUAGAAGGGGGCACCUUUGCUGUGAACUGUUUAUCGGAGGGUACCAGCAAGGAUGGAGGGGUCGGUCUGUCCAGCAGGGUUUCACUGAGCCCUGAGCCCCUGCUACGGGCUAGAUGCUACGGAAUGAGAGAAGCAGGACACACGGGCUGAAGGACCAUGAUUGGGGCAGCCAGAGGGUGCGAAUGCUGUGACUUACCCACUCCUCUGAGAUGAACACAUUAUUGUUUUACUUAUCACUGUGCCAGAAAGAAUGCUGCCCCCGAGGCCGACGCUCCACCCACUGUAAGCUUCCUCCUGAUUGCAGAGAGGUUACAGUGAGAAACAGAGUCUGGGCCUUCAGGGCAGUGAGAUGCUGGGACGUGCGUAUGAUGAUGAUGAUGAUGAUGAUCAGAAGUAGCAGUGACAGCUGCCACAUAUUAGAUGAUGGAUGAGACAGUCUCUUACCCUGUGCAUGGGACUCUAACAGGGGAGUGAGGGAAGUUGGCACUCCUCUUUCCUGCUGGGCCCCGUCGGGGGUCCCACUCAGCCAGGACCCAGGCCCUCAUUGGGUUCCAUGCAACGACACAGCCACACUCAGGACCAGCCGUUAGGGAGCCAUGUCCCUUGAGAUAGAUGCCUCUUGCUUCUGUCACCUCCAGGUCCAGUGCUGGUAGCAGGGAGCAGUUUCGCUGACAGGCUGGCUCUGUGGCAUCCAGGUGCCCAGGGCUCUGGGGCGUCACAGAAUUCCUCGUGAUUCUGGCUGUGGUGGCACCAGGGCCCUAAUCAAGCAGAACACGGCGUCAGCAGAAGCUGGCAGCUGCAUGGCUCAGGGGCCCUGGCUGGUGGCGGGAGGGGGCAGGAGCAGGGCUAGGCUGUGCCCCUCUGCCUCCCCACCGCCCUGCAGACCUGGGAACCUUUCUGCUCGGGGGAGAGAGAGAGACAAGGACAGGAGACACUUGCCUCCCAGAUUUUUCCCCUUCUGAAGGGCUUCUCUGCUCUGACUCAUCUGCCCCUCCCGGCCAUCCAUACGGAAGGGGUGAUGUAAGUACUGCAUCACCCCUCUGGUACCGAUGGGGAAACCGAGGCUGCAGGUGGGGUCAUGCUGGUCUGUUCUCGGUAGGUGGGUGGUGCAGUUUGGCUAGGUGCUCUGAAGUCACACCACCCCCACCCCUGCCCACCAUGUGGUCCCUCUCUGAGCCUCAGGCCCCUCACCCAUACACAAGGACAGUCUUAGGACUUUCCUCAUAGGGACAUAAGCAGGCAGAGUCCCUAGUGGAGGGCCUGGCAAGCAGUCAAAACUCCAGAAGUGGUGACUAGCUACUGGGAGCAGAGGAAGCAGGAGAGGAAGGGAUCUGAGGCCCCGCUGACAGCCCUGGCCUCAAGGGCCCAUGGAAUGAACAUGCCCUGUGCCCCUUGCCCUCGGAAAGCCAUUGGGCCAUGCAUAUCCUGCAUCAGGAACUCCUGAUUAAUCUCCCAUGAACCUUGGUGCCGACUGUGGAGAAUCCAGGCCCUGUUCAGGAUGACCAUCGCCACCAUGCUGUGGCCUUUUGUCUAAGAGGAGGGAGGGUGGGGGAUGGGAGACCUGGAAGUAGAGCCUGGAGCACCUGGGAUCUGAACUCCCUUCACUCCUCCCUGGGAUCCCACUGCCCCUCCUCCGAGAGAUGAAGGGGACAUGUAGACGGAUGGUGGAUGGUCCUUUCUGGACUCCUGGACCCGAGAACACCCACGUUGGCAUUUGGUGGCAGUCAGCAGUUUCUCCCCCAGUCCUCUGCAUUCCAGAGAGCUGAGCUGUGGACCUCAAACACGCAGGGGUCUGGACUCUGUUAGUGGAAUGAGGCAGAGGAUCAGUAACUCAUCAGACUCUGACCGGGUUACGUGGUUCCCAAAAGGUAAAGAGCCACUGUUACAGGUUCACUGACCUGUAUACAUGCUUGAAAGCACCAUGUACACGAGCUGGCUCUUUGUUAUUCCUUGAAAUCACCCCACUUGUUCCCACCAUCAUGUCUUGACAUCCUGAGCAGCACCAUGGCUGGCAGAAGCAGCGUUGGCAAGAUCAAAGUGUUAGAGAAGACAGGAGCUGGGGGAGUGGGAAGGACAACGAAGAUAGUGUUAUGUAUAUGUCCCUGAAAACCGCUGUAAAUAAAAGUUCUAGGAGACAUCUCUGCCAAACCAAACCAGCUUUGCCCACAUUUAAAAACCAGCUCUAGUUGAGAACCUUUUCCUAAAUUAUGUUCUUC